rnacentral:rRNA from 1 species
CACGUAGGGUGCAAGCGUUGUCCGGAAUUAUUGGGCGUAAAGAGCUCGUAGGCGGUUUGUUGCGUCGGCUGUGAAAUCCCGAGGCUCAACCUCGGGUCUGCAGUCGAUACGAGCAAACUAGAGUGUUGCAGGGGAGACUGGAAUUCCUGGUGUAGCGGUGAAAUGCGCAGAUAUCAGGAGGAACACCGGUGGCGAAGGCGGGUCUCUGGGCAACAACUGACGCUGGAGGAGCGAAAGCCGUGGGAGCGAACAGG